UUCGAUAUGGGGUAGUGGUUAACCUAGCGGAUUUUCACUCCGUUGCCCCGGGUUCGAUUCCCGGUAUCGAAG
rnacentral:tRNA from 2 species